UACGUAGGUGGCGAGCGUUGUCCGGAAUUACUGGGUGUAAAGGGCGUGUAGGCGGGAAUGUAAGUCAGAUGUGAAAUCCCGAAGCUCAACUUCGGAGCUGCAUCUGAAACUAUAUUUCUUGAGUGCUGGAGAGGAAAGCGGAAUUCCUAGUGUAGCGGUGAAAUGCGUAGAUAUUAGGAGGAACACCAGUGGCGAAGGCGGCUUUCUGGACAGUAACUGACGCUGAGGCGCGAAAGCGUGGGGAGCGAACAGG
rnacentral:rRNA from 1 species